rnacentral:lncRNA from 1 species
GUGACGCACCCUUCAGCGGAGAUGAUGCUGAAGAUCAGAAAGUCACAGCAAGCAGCUCAGUACCUGCAGGUAACCUGCUGUAACUUUCCCGGCCACCUCUUGGUCGGAACCCUACCUCAGCACACACAACCUAUGCUCUGGCAGCAGCCAUGAUGCACACCUCAAUCUCCUCUUCUGCUUUCAGCUUCAGCAAACAUCAUUGAAAUCUCUGGGCCGGCUCAUGGCAGUCCUGCUCAAGACAGAGCCCACCCGUGGCUUUUUCCAGAACAUAGUCCAUGUGAGUAUAUGUGGGGCAAGGGAGAAAGCAUGGUAACUGUCAAUAGCGGGGACAGAGAUUUGGGGACUGAGAGGACAGUCAGAGGGGGAGAAAUCUCCUGCUGACAUGCCAGUUCACUGCGAGCUCAAAAAUGGGCAGAGAAAUGAGCCCUGCAGGGGGAAAGGCAGGAGCCAGCCCUGGAAAAGCCGAGGAAAAGCUCCUGGGUUAGGAGGCAGGAGUGUCUGCAGAGAGCAGGGGCAGCAAUGCUGGUGCUCAGUGAGGCGGGGGGCCACGUGGAACCAGGAAAGGCCCUAAGGGAAAGUGUCAGGAAAGGAGGGACAGGGAGAGGGGUGGCAGGAAGGGAAAGAAAAGACGUCCUCAGUGAGACAGAUGCUCUGCCACAGGUCCUGCAGAGAUCUAUGACAUCAGACAACGUGUGGGAGCGCAAGAGGGCCCUGCAGACCUGCUCCCAGCUGCUGGCUGUUUGUGAAGAGCUUCAAAGAGGAGAUAUCUGUGAGCACUUUGGCUCCUUGGUGGGAUUGUUGGCACCUCUGACAUGUGACCCCAUGCCCACAUCCCGCCAGCUGGCCGUCACCUGUCUGAGCUCCCUUCUCCGAAUCCAAGGUGAGUAGAGCAGGCGUGUGCCAGCCCUGUGCCCUCCUCUGCAGCACUACCAGAGCCCCACUGGCUGGGCCCUGUUUA